CAGGCCUAACACAUGCAAGUCGAACGCCCCGCAAGGGGAGUGGCAGACGGGUGAGGAACACGUGGGAACGUACCCUUUGGUUCGGAACAACCCUGGGAAACUAGGGCUAAUACCGGAUACGCGCGAGAGCGGAAAGGUUUACCGCCGAAGGAUCGGCCCGCGUCUGAUUAGCUAGUUGGUGAGGUAAUGGCUCACCAAGGCGACGAUCAGUAGCUGGUCUGAGAGGAUGAUCAGCCACAUUGGGACUGAGACACGGCCCAAACUCCUACGGGAGGCAGCAGUGGGGAAUAUUGGACAAUGGGCGCAAGCCUGAUCCAGCCAUGCCGCGUGAGUGAUGACGGCCCUAGGGUUGUAAAGCUCUUUUACCCGGGAAGAUAAUGACAGUACCGGGAGAAUAAGCCCCGGCUAACUCCGUGCCAGCAGCCGCGGUAAU
rnacentral:rRNA from 1 species